rnacentral:rRNA from 1 species
GACGAACGCUGGCGGCGUGCCUAAUACAUGCAAGUAGGACGCAGUUGCGAACGGGUGAGUAACGCGUAGGUAACUACCUAUUAGAGGGGGAUAACUAUUGGAAACGAUAGCUACUACCGCAUACUAGUAGAUGGACCUGCGUUGUAUUAGCUAGUAGGUAGGGGAAUGGCCUACCUAGGCAACGAUACAUAGCCGACCUGUGGGGGGGAACGGCCAAACGUGGACUGGGACACGGCCCAGACUCCUACGGGGAGCAGCAGUAGGGAAACUUCGGCAAUGGGGGGAACCCUGACCGAGCAACGCCGCGGGAGUGAAGAAGGUUUUCGGAUCGUAAAGCUCUGUUGUUAAGGAAGCGGUACUUAACCAAAAAGGGACGGCUAACUACGUGCCAGCAGCCGCGGUAAUAC